rnacentral:rRNA from 1 species
GGUGACAAUGGCGAAGGGGAAACACCUGUUCCCAUCCCGAACACAGCAGUUAAGCCCUUCUGCGCCGAGAGUACUGAGUUGGACACGACUUGGGAGGGUAGGACGUUGCCG